rnacentral:lncRNA from 1 species
CCAGUACGGAAACAGCCAGGGUAGGCGGGACGGAGCUCGCAGACAGAGAAAGCGGCGCUAUGCAAGGCCUGGUAUCACUCCGCUUCCGCGAGGCCGAAUCGCCUUCAACUCCCCUCGAGCUGCUCUCGCUGUCGCUUUUGGUUCUGGGGACGUGGAGAGACAAAGUCUGCGGAGGAAAAGGGCUCGGCACCCCUCGAGGCAAGGAAAUGAGAAAACUGCCUCUCAUCCAAGCAGAGCAGAUCUGCCUUUAG